UACAGAGGGGGCAAGCGUUGUUCGGAAUUACUGGGCGUAAAGGGCGCGUAGGCGGCCUGUUAAGUCAGACGUGAAAUCCCCGGGCUCAACCCGGGAACUGCGUCCGAUACUGGCAGGCUUGAAUCCGGGAGAGGGAUGUGGAAUUCCAGGUGUAGCGGUGAAAUGCGUAGAUAUCUGGAGGAACACCGGUGGCGAAGGCGGCAUCCUGGACCGGCAUUGACGCUGAGGCGCGAAAGCCAGGGGAGCAAACGGG
rnacentral:rRNA from 1 species